GUUGUCGCUCAGUGGUAGAGGGCUUGCCUAGCAUGUGUGAGGCCCUGGGUUCAAUUCUCAGCAUACA
rnacentral:tRNA from 1 species